AGUGAACGCUGGCGGUAGGCCUAACACAUGCAAGUCGAACGGCAGCACAGUAAGAGCUUGCUCUUACGGGUGGCGAGUGGCGGACGGGUGAGGAAUACAUCGGAAUCUACUUUUUCGUGGGGGAUAACGUAGGGAAACUUACGCUAAUACCGCAUACGACCUACGGGUGAAAGCAGGGGAUCUUCGGACCUUGCGCGAUUGAAUGAGCCGAUGUCGGAUUAGCUAGUUGGCGGGGUAAAGGCCCACCAAGGCGACGAUCCGUAGCUGGUCUGAGAGGAUGGUCAGCCACACUGGAACUGAGACACGGUCCAGACUCCUACGGGAGGCAGCAGUGGGGAAUAUUGGGCAAUGGGCGCAAGCCUUAUCCAGCCAUACCGCGUGGGUGAAGAAGGCCUUCGGGUUGUAAAGCCCUUUUGUUGGGAAAGAAAAGCAGCAGGUUAAUACCCCGCUGUUCUGACGGUACCCAAAGAAUAAGCACCGGCUAACUUCGUG
rnacentral:rRNA from 1 species